rfam:Acinetobacter bouvetii DSM 14964 = CIP 107468 genomic scaffold acLrD-supercont1.3, whole genome shotgun sequence.
GGGGACGUGGCGAAAUUGGUAGACGCACUGGAUUUAGGUUCCAGCGCCGCAAGGUGUGAGAGUUCGAGUCUCUCCGUCCCCA